GACGAACGCUGGCGGCGUGCCUAAUACAUGCAAGUAGAACGCUGAAGAGAGGAGCUUACUCUUCUUGGAUGAGUUGCGAACGGGUGAGUAACGCGUAGGUAACCUGCCUUGUAGCGGGGGAUAACUAUUGGAAAUGAUAGCUAAUACCGCAUAACAAUGGAUGACACAUGUCAUUUAUUUGAAAGGGGCAAUUGCUCCACUACAAGAUGGACCUGCGUUGUAUUAGCUAGUAGGUGAGGUAAUGGCUCACCUAGGCGACGAUACAUAGCCGACCUGAGAGGGUGAUCGGCCACACUGGGACUGAGACACGGCCCAGACUCCUACGGGAGGCAGCAGUAGGGAAUCUUCGGCAAUGGGGGCAACCCUGACCGAGCAACGCCGCGUGAGUGAAGAAGGUUUUCGGAUCGUAAAGCUCUGUUGUAAGUCAAGAACGGGUGUGAGAGUGGAAAGUUCACACUGUGACGGUAGCUUACCAGAAAGGGACGGCUAACUACGUG
rnacentral:rRNA from 1 species